UACGUAGGCAGCAAGCGUUGUUCGGAGUUACUGGGCGUAGAGGGUGUGUAGGCGGUUCUUUAAGUUUGGUGUGAAAUCUCCCGGCUCAACUGGGAGGGUGCGCCGAAUACUGAGGGACUAGAGUACGGGAGAGGAAAGUGGAAUUCCUGGUGUAGCGGUGAAAUGCGUAGAUAUCAGGAGGAACACCGGUGGUGUAGACGGCUUUCUGGACCGACACUGACGCUGAGACACGAAAGCGUGGGUAGCAAACAGG
rnacentral:rRNA from 1 species